rnacentral:lncRNA from 1 species
CAGGCCUGGCUGUCUGAGAAACUUCCAAGUCUCUUCUGUCCCAGACCGCCUGCUUUCCCCGGGUUGAGGUGGGGCAGGGGCUCAGUCCUGGCUGGGACCCCCUCAGUCACCUGGCCGCAGUGGUGGAGACGGUCUCCUCUGCUAGAGUGAGGCCUGAGUCAAAAGGAGAUGGGAAGAGACCUCCUGUUGGCACUGUAGGCCAAUGUUUAGAUUUGAGCAGACAGUGGCCAACAGGGAGCCGGGGGUCAAGAAGGUCCCUGCUUGGAACUUCACAGCUGGCAGCUUGCCACACCUGCCUGCUCACCAUCUUGCCCAGAGAGGCCUCACUUUCCUCCAUGAUUCCCUCCCCCUGGACUCCCACCCUGGGCUCUGCCUGAAGGUCCAGCAUCCUGUACGGAGUGGCCAGAGGAUCAGAGUCUCCCCGCCCCCUCUGCAAGCAGUAGAGAGA